rnacentral:snRNA from 1 species
AGGGUGAGAUUUAUCCAUUGCAAUCAGGGUGUGUUGACCCCUGAAGUUUUCUAAAAUGUGGAAAACUU